AGGGUUGUGGCUCAGUGGUAGAGUGCUCACCUCGCACGGGUGAGACCCUGGGUUCGAUCCUCAGCACCACAU
rfam:Ictidomys tridecemlineatus contig015502, whole genome shotgun sequence.